GGGCCCGCACAAGCGGUGGAGCAUGUGGUUUAAUUCGAUGAUACGCGAGGAACCUUACCAGGACUUAAAUGUAAGUUGCAUGAUUCAGAAAUGAAUCUUUCUUCGGACUACUUACAAGGUGCUGCAUGGUUGUCGUCAGCUCGUGCCGUGAGGUGUCAGGUUAAGUCCUAUAACGAGCGCAACCCCUAUCGUUAGUUGCCAUCAAGUAAAGUUGGGAACUCUAGCGAAACUGCCGGUGCAAACCGAGAGGAAGGUGGGGAUGACGUCAAAUCAUCACGGCCCUUACGUUCUGGGCUACACACGUGCUACAAUGGUCGGUACAGAAAGCAGCCACUAUGCGAAUAGGAGCUAAUCUUUAAAACCGAUCUCAGUUCGGAUUGGAGUCUGCAACUCGACUCCAUGAAGUUGGAAUCGCUAGUAA
rnacentral:rRNA from 1 species